UACGAAGGGGGCGAGCGUUGUUCGGAAUUACUGGGCGUAAAGGGCGCGUAGGCGGUGUGUCGAGUCAGGCGUGAAAGCCCCGGGCUCAACCUGGGAACGGCGCUUGAGACUGGCACGCUCGAGUUCGGGAGAGGAUGGUGGAAUUCCCAGUGUAGAGGUGAAAUUCGUAGACAUUGGGAAGAACACCGAUGGCGAAGGCAGCCAUCUGGACCGACACUGACGCUGAGGCGCGAAAGCGUGGGGAGCAAACAGGG
rnacentral:rRNA from 1 species